GAAGGAGAGUUACACAAUUGGUGGACCAAUAAGACCAGAAAGGCGUAUACAAAUCUCACGGAAUGUUUCGUACAGCAAUACGGAAGCAUCAAUGACAGUGAAACGUCUCUUCCGCUAAACGGCAUUAACAGUCAAGGAGAAAACAUUGCAGAUAAUGGUGGACUACUUGGAGCAUAUCUUGCCUAUAAAACUCUCGCCAAAAACAGCACAAAAUAUCCAGAUUUAGCUCUACCUGGUAUGGAACAUAUCAGUAAUGUCCAAAUGCUUUUCAUCUCACACGCCGUGGUA